AGCCUCAUUGUCAAUUACAAUGGGCUCUGCUGAUUGGUGUCCAAAGUUGGUCAAGGUAGCUAAAAUUGCAACACAGGUCACUCCGUUCCAUCACAGUAAACAUGUUACAGUGGUGACAGUGAGAUCUGCAACAUUU
ensembl:snoRNA